rfam:Drosophila pseudoobscura pseudoobscura strain MV2-25 chromosome 2, whole genome shotgun sequence.
GAGCUGCGAUGUGAGAAAAUGGUCUGAACAAGCCGAAAUAUAUAAAGGUAAAUGGGUGAAAUGCUCAAGAAAAUCAGCUCGAAGAGCUCCAAAACCCGAGAAA